GCAGUCGAGGGGUGUAGUAGCAAUACUAGAGACCGGCGCACGGGUGCGUAACGCGUAUGCAAUCUACCUUUCACAGAGGGAUAGCCCAGAGAAAUUUGGAUUAAUACCUCAUAGUAUAAUACCUUGGCAUCAAGGAAUUAUUAAAGUCACAACGGUGAAAGAUGAGCAUGCGUCCCAUUAGCUAGUUGGUAUGGUAACGGCAUACCAAGGCGACGAUGGGUAGGGGUCCUGAGAGGGAGAUCCCCCACACUGGUACUGAGACACGGACCAGACUCUUACGGGAGGCAGCAGUGAGGAAUAUUGGACAAUGGGCGCAAGCCUGAUCCAGCCAUGCCGCGUGCAGGAUGACGGUCCUAUGGAUUGUAAACUGCUUUUGCACAGGAAGAAACAACAUUACGUGUAAUGUCUUGACGGUACUGUGAGAAUAAGGAUCGGCUAACUCCGUGCCAGCAGCCGCGGUAAUACGGAGGAUCCAAGCGUUAUCCGGAAUCAUUGGGUUUAAAGGGUCCGUAGGCGGCUUUAUAAGUCAGUGGUGAAAUCUCCCCGCUCAACGGGGAAACGGCCAUUGAUACUGUAAGGCUUGAAUUAUUAGGAAGUAACUAGAAUAUGUAGUGUAGCGGUGAAAUGCUUAGAGAUUACAUGGAAUACCAAUUGCGAGGGCAGGUUACUACUAAUGGAUUGACGCUGAUGGACGAAAGCGUGGGUAGCGAACAGGAUUAGAUACCCUGGUAGA
rnacentral:rRNA from 1 species